rnacentral:rRNA from 1 species
AGGACGAACGCUGGCGGCGUGCUUAACACAUGCAAGUCGAACGAGGCGCUUGCGCCUAGUGGCGAACGGGUGAGUAACACGUGAGCAACCUGCCCUUGGCUCUGGGAUAGCCUCCGGAAACGGGGAUUAAUACCGGACAUGACCUUCUCCUGCAUGGGGGAGGGUGGAAAGUUUUUCGGCCAGGGAGGGGCUCGCGGCCUAUCAGCUUGUUGGGGGGGUAACGGCCCACCAAGGCGACGACGGGUAGCCGGCCUGAGAGGGCGACCGGCCACACUGGGACUGAGACACGGCCCAGACUCCUACGGGAGGCAGCAGUGGGGAAUAUUGCACAAUGGGGGAAACCCUGAUGCAGCGACGCCGCGUGCGGGAUGAAGGCCUUCGGGUUGUAAACCGCUUUCAGCAGGGGCGAAUUCGAGACGGUACCUGCAGAAGAAGCGCCGGCUAACGUACGCGCCAGCAGCCGC